AACCGGAGAAUAAGAAUGUGAUCAACCACUUCCUGCCACAGCCCCAGCAACAGCAACACCUCCUACAUCUGUUUAUCAAUCACCACGGUUCUGCCCCACCUCCUACAUCUGCUCAUCACCAGGGUUCUGCUCCACCUCCUACAUCUGCUCAUCACCACGGUUCUGCUCCACCUCCUAUAUCUGCUCAUCACCACGGUUCUGCUCCACCUCCUACAUCUCCUUAUCAUCACGGUUCUGCCCCACCUCCUACAUCUGCUCAUCACCAGGGUUCUGCUCCACCUCCUACAUCUGCUCAUCACCACGGUUCUGCCCCACCUCCUACAUCUGCUCAUCACCACGGUUCUGCCCCACCUCCUACAUCUGCUCAUCACCACGAUUCUGCCCCACCCCCUACAUCUGCUCAUCACCAUGGUUCUGCCCCA
rnacentral:lncRNA from 1 species